rnacentral:rRNA from 1 species
UACGGAGGGUGCGAGCGUUGUCCGGAAUCACUGGGCGUAAAGGGCGCGUAGGCGGCCUGAUAAGUAGGGGGUGAAAUCCUGCGGCUCAACCGCAGGGCUGCCUUCUAAACUGUCGAGCUCGAGCACGGUAGAGGCAGAUGGAAUUCCCGGUGUAGCGGUGGAAUGCGUAGAGAUCGGGAAGAACAUCAGUGGCGAAGGCGGUCUGCUGGGCCGUUGCUGACGCUGAGGCGCGACAGCGUGGGGAGCAAACAGG